rnacentral:rRNA from 1 species
AGGGAAAAGCCCAAAUUUGUAAUCUGGCUCUUUUAUAAGGGUCCGAGUUGUAAUUUUGAGAACUGUUUUCUGUGUUGGACCAUGUACAAGUCUGUUGGAAAACAGCAUCAUUGAGGGUGAUAAUCCCGUACAUGAUAUGGACUACCAGUGCAAUAUGAUACAGUCUCUAAGAGUCGAGUUGUUUGGGAAUGCAGCUCAAAGUGGGUGGUAAAUUCCAUCUAAGGCUAAAUAUAGGUGAGAGACCGAUAGCAAACAAGUACCGUGAGGGAAAGAUGAAAAGAACUUUGGAAAGAGAGUUAACAGUACGUGAAAUUGUUAAAAGGGAAACAUUUGAAGUUAGACUUGUUAUUAUUGGUUCAGCUUCUUUUUUUAAUUAGGAGUCUAUUCCAAUGGUUGACAGACCAGCAUCAAUUUUUGAGUGUUAGAUAAGGGUCUUGAGAAUGUGGCAACUUUGGUUGUGUUAUAGCUCUUGGCUUGAUAUAAUGCUUAGGAUUGAGGAACGCAGUGAGCUUUUUAUUAAGUGGAUYCUCUUUUG